rnacentral:rRNA from 2 species
AAAAAAGGGCGCAUGGCGGAUGCCUUGGCUCUCGGAGGCGAUGAAGGACGUGAUAAGCUGCGAUAAGCUUUGGGGAGGUGCAAAUGACCUUUGAUCCAGAGAUUUCCGAAUGGGACAACCCAAUAUCUUGAAGAGGUAUUAUCUUACUAUGUAAGAGGCUAACGCAGGGAACUGAAACAUCUUAGUACCUGCAGGAAAAGAAAAUAAACAAUGAUUCCCCCAGUAGUGGCGAGCGAACGGGGAACAGCCCAAACCAUCCAUGUUACGGCAUGGGUGGGGUUGUAGGACUACGCCGUUGCAUGAAGACAUCAGAGAAGAACUUUCUGGAAAGAAAGACCAUAGAGCAUGACAGUUGCGUAUUCGAAUGUUGUCGAAGCAUAGUAGUAUCCUGAGUAGCGCGGAGCACGAGGAAUUCUGCGUGAAUCUGCCGGGACCAUCCGGUAAGGCUAAAUACUCCCGAGAGACCGAUAGCGAACCAGUACCGUGAGGGAAAGGUGAAAAGCACUUCGAACAGAAGAGUGAAAUAGUUCCUGAAACCGUGCGCCUACAAGCGGUCGGAGCUCGUUAAUGAGUGACGGCGUGCCUUUUGCAUAAUGAACCUACGAGUUGCCUUUGCCGGCAAGGUUAAGUGUGACGACACACGUAUCCGAAGCGAAAGCGAGUCUGAACAGGGCGUAUAGUCGGCAGUGGCAGACGCGAAACCAAGUGAUCUACCCUUGGCCAGGUUGAAGGCUGGGUAACACCAGCUGGAGGACCGCACCAAUAAGCGUUGAAAAGCUUCUGGAUGAGCUGAGGGUAGGGGUGAAAGGCUAAUCAAACUUGGAGAUAGCUCGUACUCCCCGAAAUGCAUUUAGGUGCAGCCUUGCGGGUUACUGAUGUGAGGUAGAGCGACUGAUAAGAUGCGAGGGCUUCACCGCCUAUCAAGUCUUGACAAACUCCGAAUGCGCAUCAGUUCUACCGCAGGAGUGAGGGCAUGGGUGCUAAGGUCCGUGCCCGAGAGGAGAAGAAUCCGGACCACCUGCUAAGGUCCCGAAAUGACAGCUAAGUUAAACUAACGAAGUCUGACUGCUAAGACAGCUAGGAUGUUGGCUUGGAAGCAGCCAUUCAUUUAAAGAGUGCGUAACAGCUCACUAGUCGAGGAGUCGGGCGUGGAUAAUAAUCGGGUAUCAAGUUGUCUACCGAAGCAGUGGGAUCAUUAAUAUGAUCGGUAGGGGAGCAUUCCAGUCAGCGUCGAAGGCGUACCGUGAGGUAUUCUGGAGCGUCUGGAAAAGCAAAUGUAGGUAUAAGUAACGAUAAAGGGGGCGGGAAACCCCCUCGCCGAAAGACUAAGGUUUCCUGAUCAACGCUAAUCGGAUCAGGGUCAGUCGGGUCCUAAGGCUCAGCCGAACGGCGAUGCCGAUGGCAGAAACGGUUAAUAUUCCGUUACUACCUUCAGGAGUGACGUGGAGACGCAGUAGUGACAGUGCCGCCAUCUGACGGAAUAGAUGGUUGAAGGGUGUAGGAGUCGAUCAUGGCAGGCAAAUCCACCAUGAGAUCCGAACCUGACAGUAUGCCGCGUCCUUCGGGACAAGGCAAUAGUGCGCGUAAGCAUGCUGCCGAGAAAAUCCGCUAAACUUAAUCCUGCAGGUACCCGUACCGCAAACGGACACACGUAGUCGGGAUGAAUAUUCUAAGGCGCUUGAGUGAUUCACGGUUAAGGAACUAGGCAAACUGACCCUGUAACUUCGGGAUAAAGGGUCCCUACCCUUUUAUGGGAGGGCGCAGAGAAUCGGUCCAGGCAACUGUUUAACAAAAACACAGGGCUGUGCCAAAUCGAAAGAUCCAGUAUACAGCCUGACACCUGCCCGGUGCUGGAAGGUUAAGAGGAGAUGUCAUCGAUAAGAGAAGCGUUGAAUUGAAGCCCCAGUAAACGGCGGCCGUAACUAUAACGGUCCUAAGGUAGCGAAAUUCCUUGUCGGGUAAGUUCCGACCUGCACGAAUGGUGUAAUGAUCUGGACGCUGUCUCAACCGUGAGCUCAGUGAAAUUGUAGUAUCGGUGAAGAUGCCGAUUACCCGCGAUGGGACGAAAAGACCCCGUGAACCUUUACUAUAGCUUAUCAUUGAAUCUGGGCACGUGAUGUGUAGGAUAGGUCGGAGGCUUUGAAGCAGGUACGCCAGUAUUUGUGGAGCCGCUGUUGAAAUACGACCCUUUAUUUGUUUGGAUUCUAACCCGUGGAACGGGGACAUUGAUUGGUGGGUAGUUUGACUGGGGUGGUCGCCUCCAAAAGCGUAACGGAGGCUUCUAAAGGUGCCCUCCGGCCGAUUGGUAACCGGCCUUAGAGUGUAAUGGCAUAAGGGCGCUUGACUGGGAGACUAACAAGUCGAUCAGGUAGGAAACUAGAGCAUAGUGAUCCGGUGUUUCCGUAUGGAAGGGACAUCGCUCAAAGGAUAAAAGGUACUCCGGGGAUAACAGGCUGAUCCCUCCCAAGAGCUCAUAUCGACGGAGUGGUUUGGCACCUCGAUGUCGGCUCGUCACAUCCUGGGGCUGGAGAAGGUCCCAAGGGUUGGGCUGUUCGCCCAUUAAAGUGGCACGCGAGCUGGGUUCAGAACGUCGUGAGACAGUUCGGUCUCUAUCUAUCGUGGGCGUAUGAAAUUUGCGUGGCUCUGACACUAGUACGAGAGGACCGUGUUGGACAGACCUCUGGUUUGCCGGUUGUGCCGCCAGGUGCAUUGCCGGGUAUCUAAGUCUGGAUCGGAUAAGUGCUGAAAGCAUCUAAGUACGAAGCCGGCCACAAGAUUAGAUUUCUCAGGGUCGUUGUAGACUACGACGUUGAUAGGAUGCAGGUGUAA